rnacentral:rRNA from 1 species
UCCUGGCUCAGAACGUACGCUGGCGGCACGCCUAAUACAUGCAAGUCGAACGAAGUAGCAAUACUUAGUGGCAGACGGGUGAGUAACAUGUGGGUAUCUUCCCUUUGGUGAGGAAUAACACGAGGAAACUUGUGCUAAUACCUCAUAAGUCUUUACGGAGAAAGCUUUAUGCGCCAAUGGAUGAGCCCGCACUUGAUUAGUUUGUUGGUGAGGUAAUGGCUCACCAAGACUUUGAUCAAUAGCUGAUUUGAGAGGAUGAUCAGCCACAUUGGGACUGAGACACGGCCCAAACUCCUACGGGAGGCAGCAGUAGGGAAUCUUGCACAAUGGGGGAAACCCUGAUGCAGCGAUGCCGCGUGAGUGAAGAAGGCCUUUGGGUUGUAAAGCUCUUUCGUCGGGGAAGAAAAUGACUGUACCCGAAUAAGAAGGUCCGGCUAACUUCGUGCCAGCAGCCGCGGUAAUACGAAGGGACCUAGCGUAGUUCGGAAUUACUGGGCUUAAAGAGUUCGUAGGUUGUUAAAAAAGUUGGUGGUGAAAUCCCAGAGCUUAACUCUGGAACUGCCAUCAAAACUUUUUAGCUAGAGUUUGAUAGAGGAAAGCAGAAUUUCUAGUGUAGAGGUGAAAUUCGUAGAUAUUAGAAAGAAUACCAAUUGCGAAGGCAGCUUUCUGGAUCAUUACUGACACUGAGGAACGAAAGCAUGGGUAGCGAAGAGGAUUAGAUACCCUCGUAGUCCAUGCCGUAAACGAUGUGUGUUAGACGUUGGAAAUUUAUUUUCAGUGUCGCAGCGAAAGCGAUAAACACACCGCCUGGGGAGUACGACCGCAAGGUUAAAACUCAAAUGAAUUGACGGGGACCCGCACAAGUAGUGGAGCAUGUGGUUUAAUUCGAAGAUACGCGCAGAACCUUACCAACACUUGACAUGUUCGUCGCGACUUUAAGAGAUUAAAGUUUUCGGUUCGGCCGGACGAAACACAGGUGCUGCAUGGCUGUCGUCAGCUCGUGUCGUGAGAUGUUGGGUUAAGUCCCGCAACGAGCGCAACCCUCACUUUUAGUUGCCAUCAUUAAGUUGGGCACUCUGAAAGAACUGCCAGUGAUAAGCUGGAGGAAGGUGGGGAUGACGUCAAGUCCUCAUGGCCCUUACGUGUUGGGCUACACACGUGCUACAAUGGUAUCUACAACAGGAAGCAAGACGGCGACGUUAAGCAAAUCCUUAAAAGAUACCUCAGUUCGGAUUGUACUCUGCAACUCGAGUACAUGAAGCUGGAAUUACUAGUAAUCGCGGAUCAGCGCGCCGCGGUGAAUACGUUCCCGGGUCUUGUACACACCGCCCGUCACACCAUGGGAGUUGGUUCUACCUUAAGGCGAGGUUUAAAAUCCUCGACUACGGUAUAGUCAGCGACUGGGGUGAAGUCGUAACAAGGUAACCGUA